UACGUAGGGUGCAAGCGUUAAUCGGAAUUACUGGGCGUAAAGCGUGCGCAGGCGGUUAUGUAAGACAGUUGUGAAAUCCCCGGGCUCAACCCUGGGAACUGCAUCUGUGACUGCAUAGCUAGAGUACGGUAGAGGGGGAUGGAAUUCCGCGUGUAGCAGUGAAAUGCGUAGAUAUGCGGAGGAACACCGAUGGCGAAGGCAAUCCCCUGGACCUGUACUGACGCUCAUGCACGAAAGCGUGGGGAGCAACAGG
rnacentral:rRNA from 1 species